rnacentral:misc_RNA from 1 species
GGCUUUUUGAGAUGAUAAGUCGUUCGUCCUCCGUUGCUAAUAAUGAAGGAACCACCCUUCCUUCUGUGCAAGGAAACAUUGAAUUCCGAAAUGUUUAUUUCAGCUACCUCUCUCGCCCUGAAAUUCCUAUCUUGAGUGGAUUUUAUCUCACUGUACCUGCUAAAAAGGCUGUAGCCCUCGUUGGAAGAAAUGGUUCCGGCAAAAGUAGUAUUAUACCACUUAUGGAGCGGUUUUAUGAUCCUACAUUAGGGGAAGUCCUUUUAGAUGGGGAAAACAUUAAAAACCUGAAGCUGGAAUGGCUGAGAAGCCGAAUUGGCUUAGUCACCCAGGAACCUGCCUUGC